rnacentral:lncRNA from 1 species
CAUAUAUAUUUUGCCUGCUAUGGCUAUGGUGAUGCCUUCAUUUUUACUCUUUUAUUAUUAGGUCUGUUUCAGAGCUUCACGAUUACAUUUGUUUAAAAUCAAGAGCACUAAUUUAUCUUGCUUGUAUGCCUAUAUAUAUCCUAUGGCAGCUACAUUCCAAUUUUGUUAACUGCGUUGUAUCAGUUCUUCCUUCCAUGAUAACUCCAAGAU